GAUGAAGAACGCAGCGAAAUGCGAUAAGUAAUGUGAAUUGCAGAAUUCAGUGAAUCAUCGAAUCUUUGAACGCGCAUUGCGUCCGCCAGUAUUCUGGCGGGCAUGCCUGUUCGAGCGUCAUUACAACCCUCAGGCCCCCGGGCCUGGCGUUGGGGAUCGGCGGAAGCCCCCUGCGGGCACAACGCCGUCCCCCAAAUACAGUGGCGGUCCCGCCGCAGCUUCCAUUGCGUAGUAGCUAACACCUCGCAACUGGAGAGCGGCGCGGCCACGCCGUAAAACACCCAACUUCUGAAUGUUGACCUCGAAUCAGGUAGGAAUACCCGCUGAACUUAAGCAUAUCAAUAAGCGGAGGA
rnacentral:misc_RNA from 1 species